rfam:Danio rerio chromosome 9, GRCz11 reference primary assembly.
CUUUGGCCUGGUUCAAGUAAUCCAGGAUAGGCUUGUGAUGUCCGGAAAGCCUAUUCGGGAUGACUUGGUUCAGGAAUGAG